rnacentral:lncRNA from 1 species
GACUUUGUCAUGACAAUCGGGAAGGCUCGCUCAGGAGCUUCAUGCACAGGACACUGGGUGGGGACAAGGGUAGAAGCUGAAAACCAGUCAGGAGGCCGUUCUAAUAACCCAGGUUCUCGAGGCUGCUGCAGUCCUUGGCUCAUGGCCCCACAUCACUCCGACCUCUGCUUCCAUUGUCACAACUCCCCUUCUGUCUCUCUCUUAUAAGGACACUUGUGAUCACGUCGGGCACCAGGAUGACUAGGCUCCCCUCCGCAUCUUCAGAUCCUCAAUUUAAUCACAUCUGCAAAGUCCUUUUUGCCUCAGGAUUGUUAUGGCUGCUCCUGGUGUCAGAAGUGAAGGUAACGUGAGAAUGAGA